rnacentral:rRNA from 1 species
GAUCAUGGCUCAGGAUAAACGCUGGCGGCGCACAUAAGACAUGCAAGUCGAACGAACUUAACCAUUAGUUUACUAUUGGAGCGGUUAGUGGCGGACUGGUGAGUAACACGUAAGCAACCUGCCUAUCAGAGGGGAACAANAGUUAGAAAUGACUGCUAAUACCGCAUAUGCCUUAGAAUCACAUGGUUCGAAAGGGAAAGGAGCAAUCCGCUGAUAGAUGGGCUUGCGU